UUUUUGCUUUACCCUUCCUCUUCGUUUUUCACUUUCAUGAGUCUGUGAUUUUCUCCCACUUCGUCAGCCCGUCGUUUGCUCUCAAAUCCUUUCUUUUUCUUUCACAAAAUUGUCUCAAAAGAGAUCCAGCGUUUGAUUUUCUUUGGGAUUUAGUUUCCAGUCUCUCCCGGUAUUGAAUCCUUUGUUGUUCGGUGUUUUGUUCUCAUCUUGCAAUCGUCGGGGAAGAACUUUAAGAUCGUUGUGUUCUUUUUUUUGGGGAGUUUGUUUGGGUUCUCUGUUUUGAGACAAGUUCUGCAUCUCUGUAAAUCAUUUCUCCCCAAUUGUCAUCGGCUUUCCAACCAAUUUUUGGUGCGGUCUGGGUGCGAUCUUUGUUCAUAUCAUCGUAAAAAAAAAUUUAUUUAACUCACUUUGUCGAGGCUUUUGUCGGCUAAGAGCGGAUUUUGCGUUUGGUUUAUUCCGCUGAUAAAUCUGAGAUUUAACAGGAGUUCGAAGGCUACUGUUGGUUUGGGAUGAAAAAGAGAUUCUUUGCAAGCAUCACACCAAGGCCAUCAUUUAUUCCGUUUUCCGUUAAACUACAAUAUCGGUAUUUGAUUUUCGUAUUUGAUGAACUGUUGACCUCCCAUUGGUUCUAUUAUAGAAACUUGCACCAUUUUCACAGGAGCUUCCAUAGGACCUGCUUUGUGCUGUUCCUUCGUGGGGUAACCUCCAUUGGGGAUGAAAAAACUGCAGACCACAAUCAUAACCAGUUUUUGUGUAAAGCAUUGCCUCCAAUCAUCAUUCAUUUCAAGGGUCCGAAAUACCGAUUCCGAUUGUUUUCUUCAAUGGCGUCCGAACCGAAAGAUUCUCCGGCCAACAAUCCCGGCCUCCAGGCCACCCCAGAUGAAGCCACUAGGGGUUACAUCAUGCAGCAAACUAUGUUCCGAAUUAAGGACCCGAAAGCGAGUCUCGACUUUUAUUCACGUGUUUUGGGAAUGUCGCUACUUAAGAGGCUCGAUUUUCCAGAAAUGAAGUUUAGUUUGUACUUUUUGGGCUAUGAGGAUCCUGCUUCAGCUCCAACUAACUCAGUUGAUAGAACAGUUUGGACCUUUGGUCGGAAAGCUACAAUUGAGUUGACACAUAAUUGGGGUACUGAAAGUGAUUCAGAAUUUAAAGGAUAUCACAAUGGGAAUUCAGAACCUCGUGGCUUUGGUCACAUUGGCAUCACCGUUGAUGAUACAUACAAGGCCUGUGAGAGAUUUGAAAGUCUGGGGGUGGAAUUUGUGAAAAAGCCUGAUGAUGGAAAGAUGAAAGGUAUAGCAUUCAUUAAGGAUCCUGAUGGUUAUUGGAUUGAGAUCUUUGACCUUAAAACUAUAGGAACAGUCACAGCUGAUGCUUCUUGAAUUCAUGGAACUUUAUUUUCAGGUCAGCAAUAAGCAUAGAAAAUUUCAGUCAUAGAACGGAUGUAGGAAGGAACCUUUGGAUUUCUCAGCUAUGUACAUUGGUGUGUGGGUGCUUACACUGAAGUGUGAAAUUUCAGGUAUCUGUUUCCCGCAUUCCAGAACUUUAAUGCAGGUGAGCGGAGGUGACAACUUACACACUACAUGGUUUCUCUGUUUUUCCUGAUAUAUCCGAGUCCAGAUAUAUUGGCACUUGUUCUUGUGUUUGUUUUGUUUCUCGUUGGUGUCUGGAGUUUUUGUUUUGUCUACUCGACUGUACGAACUUAAUCCUGAUGAUCUUAAUAUGUUUAUUUAAACCUUUCACAGAUCAAGUGCAACUUUUGCAAGUAUCGGUUUCUUUGUAUUGGCACCAACUGUACUAACUUUUAAUCCAAUCAUUAGUUAUUAACACUG